GACGUAGGGCGCGAGCGUUGUCCGGACUUAUUGGGCGUAAAGAGCUCGUAGGCGGUUUGUCGCGUCGUUCGUGAAAACUCACAGCUUAACUGUGAGCUUGCGGUCGAUACGGGCAGGCUAGAGUUCGGUAGGGGAGACUGGAAUUCCUGGUGUAGCGGUGAAAUGCGCAGAUAUCAGGAGGAACACCGGUGGCGAAGGCGGGUCUCUGGGCCGAUACUGACGCUGAGGAGCGAAAGCGUGGGGAGCGAACAGG
rnacentral:rRNA from 1 species